rnacentral:rRNA from 1 species
CGGCGGACGGGUGAGUAACACGUGGGUAACCUACCUAUAAGACUGGGAUAACUUCGGGAAACCGGAGCUAAUACCGGAUAAUAUUUCGAACCGCAUGGUUCGAUAGUGAAAGAUGGUUUUGCUAUCACUUAUAGAUGGACCUGCGCCGUAUUAGCUAGUUGGUAAGGUAACGGCUUACCAAGGCGACGAUACGUAGCCGACCUGAGAGGGUGAUCGGCCACACUGGAACUGAGACACGGUCCAGACUCCUACGGGAGGCAGCAGCA